rnacentral:misc_RNA from 1 species
AAGAAAAGAAAAAAAAUAAGAAAGGACUAAAAGAGUUUCUAAUUAUCUCUAAAUUUUUUAUAGCUCUAAAUUUUUUAUAGCUCUAAGGUAUUUCUAAAUAGCCCUGAUAUUUCUGAACCUUCCCCUUUUCUGUUUUCUCCAGUAGAGUAUUUAUAGGGUUUUGAGAGAGAAGUGUGAUAGGGUUUGGAGUUUUAAGGUGAUAAGGUUUAGAUUAUUUAAACAACUGGGGUUGCAGAAUUUGGGUGAGACUAGGAUAUG